rnacentral:rRNA from 1 species
AGGGCGUACGGUGGAUGCCUUGGCGAUAUCAGCCGAAGAAGGACGCGGUAAGCUGCGAUAAGCUACGGAGAGGUGCAAGCAACCUUUGACCCGUAGAUUUCCGAAUGGGGGAACCCGGCAGUGGUUAUGCACUGUCACCCAUACCUUUGAGUAUGAGGAGGGCACCUGGGGAACUGAAACAUCUAAUUACCCAGAGGAAAAGUAAUCAAACGAGAUUUUCUUAGUAGCGGCGAGCGAACGGGAAAGAGGCCAAACCGGAGUGGGCAACCACACCGGGGUUGAGGACAGUCAUCAAGUGUAAAUGAGGUAGAAGAAUCGAGUUGGAAAGCUCAGCCGAAGAAGGUGAAAGCCCUGUAAUCGAAACCUUGCAUACAUGGGACUGUAUCCAGAGUACCACGAGACACGUGAAACCUUGUGGGAAGCAGGGGGGACCACCCUCCAAGCCAAAAUACUGAUAUCGACCGAUAGCGCAUAGUACCGUGAGGGAAAGGUGAAAAGAACCCCUGGCGGGGAGUGAAAGAGAACCUGAAACCGUAUGUCUACAAACAGUCGAAGUCUGUAUAUAUAUCAGGACGACGGCGUGCCUAUUGAAGAAUGAACCGACGAGUUACUGUUGCUAGCGAGGUUAAGUGGAAAACACGGAGCCGCAGCGAAAGCGAGUCUGAACAGGGCGUUCAGUUAGUAAUAGUAGACCCGAAACCGUAGUGAUCUAUCCAUGGCCAGGUUGAAGCACAGGUAAAAUUGUGUGGAGGACCGAACUCGUGAGCGUUGAAAAGCUUUGGGAUGAGUUGUGGAUAGGGGUGAAAUGCCAAUCGAACACGGAGAUAGCUGGUUCUCCCCGAAAUAGCUUUAGGGCUAGCCUCGAGGUUGAGAGUAUAGGCGGUAGAGCACUGAUCGGGCUAGGGGCCAUACCGGUUACCGAACCUAGUCAAACUACGAAUGGCUAUACUUAUACUCGGGAGUCAGACAGUGAAUGAUAAGGUCCAUUGUCAAGAGGGAAACAGCCCAGAACACCGACUAAGGUCCCAAAUGUUACACUAAGUGGCGAAGGAUGUGGAAUUUCCAAAACAACCAGGAUGUUGGCUUAGAAGCAGCCACCAUUUAAAGAGUGCGUAAUAGCUCACUGGUCGAGAGACUCUGCGCCGAAAAUGUCCGGGGCUAAAGUGUAAAACCGAAGUCGUGUCAUAUGCAGCAAUGUAUAUGGGUAGGGGAGCGUUCUCAUCGGGCUGAAGCAGUACCGUAAGGAGUUGUGGACUGAUGAGAAGUGAGAAUGUCGGUAUGAGUAGCGAAAAGAAUGGUGAGAAUCCAUUCCACCGAAAGCCUAAGGGUUCCUGAGCAACGAUCGUCGUCUCAGGGUAAGUCGGGACCUAAGCCGAGGCGGAAAAGCGUAGGCGAUGGACAACAGGUUGAAAUUCCUGUACCGGUGUGAAUCGUUUGAUCGAAGGAGUGACACAGUAAGGUAGGUCAGCACGCGAUUGGAAGUGCGUGUUUAAGCAUGUAGGUUGAGCUAUAGGCAAAUCCGUAGCUCUAAAAGCUGAGAUGUGAUGACGAGUUACUAGCGAUAGUAACGAAGUGAUUGAUCCUACACUGUCGAGAAAAGCUUCUAGGUAGAGACACAUCGCCCGUACCAAAACCGACACAGGUAGGCGGGGAGAGAAUCCUAAGGUGCGCGGGAAAACCCUCGUUAAGGAACUCGGCAAAAUGCCUCCGUAACUUCGGGAAAAGGAGGACUCAUGUAGUGUGAAGUGCAGCAACGCAUGGAGCAUGAAUGAGUGGCACAAGAGAGGCGCAAGCGACUGUUUACCACAAACACAGGUGCCUGCUAAAGCGAAAGCUGAUGUAUAGGUGCUGACACCUGCCCGGUGCUGGAAGGUUAAGAGGAGGGGUUAGACUUCGGUCGAAGCUCUGAAUUGAAGCCCCAGUAAACGGCGGCCGUAACUAUAACGGUCCUAAGGUAGCGAAAUUCCUUGUCGGGUAAGUUCCGACCCGCACGAAAGGUGUAACGACUUGCGCACUGUCUCAACGAGGGACCCGGUGAAAUUGAAGUACCUGUGAAGAUGCAGGUUACCCGCGACUGGACAGAAAGACCCCAUGGAGCUUUACUGCAACCUAAGAUUGAACUUAGUUAAUGAAUGUACAGGAUAGGUGGGAGACGUAGAACCUAGGACGCCAGUUUUAGGGGAGUCGUUGUUGGGAUACCACCCUUUCAUUAAUUGAUUUCUAACGGGCCGAGUAACGACCGGCCGGACAGUCUUAGGCGGGCAGUUUGACUGGGGCGGUCGCCUCCUAAAGAGUAACGGAGGCGCCCAAAGGU